UGGGGAAUAUUGCGCAAUGGGCGGGAGCCUGAACCAGCCAAGCCGCGUGAGGGAAGAAGGCCCUAUGGGUCGUAAACCUCUUUUGUCAGGGAACAAAAGCGAGUAUGUAUACUAGUCUGAGUGUACCUGAAGAAAAAGGCAUCGGCUAACUCCGUGCCAGCAGCCGCGGUAAUACGGAGGAUGCGAGCGUUAUCCGGAUUUAUUGGGUUUAAAGGGUGCGUAGGCGGCGAUGCAAGUCAGCGGUAAAAGCCCGGGGCUCAACCCCGGCGAGCCGUUGAAACUGCAGUGCUAGAGAAGGCGAGAGGUACGCGGAAUGCGCAGUGUAGCGGUGAAAUGCUUAGAUAUUGCGCAGAACUCCGAUUGCGAAGGCAGCGUACUGGCGCCUGACUGACGCUGAGGCACGAAAGCGUGGGGGAUCGAACAGGAUUAGAUACC
rnacentral:rRNA from 1 species